rnacentral:rRNA from 1 species
UACGUAGGGGGCAAGCGUUGUCCGGAUUUAUUGGGCGUAAAGAGCGUGUAGGCGGUUUGGUAGGUCCGCUGUGAAAACUCGAGGCUCAACCUCGAGACGCCGGUGGAAACCAUCAGGCUAGAGUCCGGAAGAGGAGAGUGGAAUUCCUGGUGUAGCGGUGAAAUGCGCAGAUAUCAGGAAGAACACCCGUGGCGAAGGCGGUUCUCUGGAACGCAACUGACGCUGAGACGCGAAAGCGUGGGGAGCAAACAGG